rnacentral:rRNA from 1 species
UACGUAGGGGGCAAGCGUUGUCCGGAUUUAUUGGGCGUAAAGAGCGUGUAGGCGGCCAUGUAGGUCCGUUGUGAAAACUCGAGGCUCAACCUCGAGACGCCGAUGGAAACCAUGUGGCUAGAGUCCGGAAGAGGAGUGUGGAAUUCCCGGUGUAGCGGUGAAAUGCGCAGAUAUCGGGAGGAACACCGAUGGCGAAGGCAGCACUCUGGGCCGGUACUGACGCUGAGGAGCGAAAGCGUGGGGAGCGAACAGG